CUGAGCCUUAUAAAGUGAAAAGCUUUCUCAAGGUCCUUCAGUAAAGUUGGAGCUACAAUUUGGAUAUAAUCCUUCUUCUCUCAGAAGAGUCUCCAGUGAUUACUGACCAUGGAAAUGUUUGAAGAUGCAUAGGCAAUAUGUUCAAGAUGAGGAGUUCCCACUCUAUUCAUGCUUUUGUGAGUAUACUAUAUAUGCCUGUAGCUAUAAACAAUAUCUCUUCUAAAUUGAGCUUAUGUUUUAAAUGGAAUUAAAGGAGAUGUAUAUUUUUAA